rnacentral:rRNA from 1 species
UACAGAGGUGGCAAGCGUUGUUCGGAAUUACUGGGCGUAAAGGGCGCGUAGGCGGCCCGGUAAGUCCGUUGUGAAAGUCAAAGGCUCAACCUUUGAACGCCGAUGGAUACUGCCGGGCUAGAGUCCGGAAGAGGCGAGUGGAAUUCCUGGUGUAGCGGUGGAAUGCGCAGAUAUCAGGAGGAACACCUAUUGCGAAGGCAGCUCGCUGGGACGUUACUGACGCUGAGACGCGAAAGCGUGGGGAGCAAACAGG